rnacentral:lncRNA from 1 species
GCCCCCUUCUGGUCCGAGCUCCACCUCCUUUAGGGUCCCGCCCUGGCCGCGUGCGCGCCCCCGCAGGUCCCACCCACCAACGCACCGCGCGACUGGACGUGAUGGGAAUAGCGGUCCUCUAACCCAGAGCCUGCAGACCUUGAACCGGAGGCAGAUGCACUGUGGACCGGCAACAGGAGCCGACCCGGGCAUCGCGGCGGCUCUCGGAGCAGAGCACAGCCGCAGCGACAGCGCCCGGGACAGGGAGCCUCCGCCCGGGUGCAGCCGCCGAGACCCUGGCUCCCGCAGCCUGGGAGUCGAGGAACCCCGGCUCCCGCAGCCUGGGAGUCGAAGAACCCCGGCAGGAACUGCAAGAUACCAAGCCUGUCGUGAUCUCAGGGAUUGGAGCAGGGGAAGACGUCGUCGAGGAGGAUCCAAGGUCCGAAACUGAGCAGGAAGCAGCAGCAGAAGGACAAGGCCACAUUGUCACAGGAGCUCCGGGCCCCAGGGACCAAGAGAAGCAGCAGCAGCAGGCGGCCCACGCGGCCACCGAGGGUCCGCAGCCCCGCGACAGACAGCAACGUCUCCACCGUCACACGUUCACCGGGUUGCAGCUGAAGGGGCUGGAAAGCGUUUUGCAGCGCACUCAAUACCCCGACGUGUUGGCGCGGUAUUAAACGUAAGCAAAGCAGUUGCAUGUAACGUGGGCCUUCUGCACAGAGAGGAGAUUAAUGCUACCCUGAGGGGCCAGCCCGUGCUGGGAGUGAGGAACACCCAGGAAUGCACCUGUGCAUGCCCAUGGCC